rnacentral:rRNA from 1 species
UGGGGAAUAUUGCACAAUGGAGGGAACUCUGAUGCAGCAACGCCGCGUGCGGGAUGACGGCCUUCGGGUUGUAAACCGCUUUCAGCCAUGACGAAGCUUUUGUGACGGUAGUGGUAGAAGAAGCAUCGGCUAACUACGUGCCAGCAGCCGCGGUGAUACGUAGGGUGCGAGCGUUGUCCGGAAUUAUUGGGCGUAAAGAGCUUGUAGGCGGUUUGUCGCGUCGAUAGUGUAAACACGCAGCUUAACUGUGUGCCUGCUGUCGAUACGGGCUGACUAGAGGAGGGUAGGGGGGAAUGGAAUUCCCGGUGGAGCGGUGGAAUGCGCAGAUAUCGGGAGGAACACCAGUGGCGAAGGCGGUUCUCUGGACCUUUCCUGACGCUGAGAAGCGAAAGCGUGGGUAGCAAACAG